rnacentral:rRNA from 1 species
GAUGAACGCUGGCGGCGUGCCUAAUACAUGCAAGUCGAGCGAACAGACGAGGCGCUUGCUCCUCUGACGUUAGCGGCGGACGGGUGAGUAACACGUGGAUAACCUACCUAUAAGACUGGGAUAACUUCGGGAAACCGGAGCUCAUACCGGAUAAUAUAUUGAACCUCAUGGUUCAAUAGUGAAAGACGGUUUUGCUGUCACUUAUAGAUGGAUCCGCGCCGCAUUAGCUAGUUGGUAAGGUAACGGCUUACCAAGGCGACGAUGCGUAGCCGACCUGAGAGGGUGAUCGGCCACACUGGAACUGAGACACGGUCCAGACUCCUACGGGAGGCAGCAUUAGGGAAUCUUCCGCAAUGGGCGAAAGCCGGACGGAGCAACGCCGCGUGAGUGAGGAAGGUCUUCGGAUCGUAAAACUCUGUUAUUAGGGAAGAACAAAUGUGUAAGUAACUAUGCACGUCUUGACGGUACCUAAUCAGAAAGCCACGGCUAACUACGUG